GCUCCAAUAGCGUAUAUUAAAGUUGUUGCAGUUAAAAAGCUCGUAGUUGGAUUUCUGGUGGAAGUGACCGGUCUGUCCUAGUGGAUGUGAACUUGUGUCUACUUGCAUCCUUGGGGAGAGCGUGCCUGGCAUUAGGUUGUCGGGUUCGGGAUCCCCAUCCUUUACUGUGAAAAAUAGAGUGUUUAAAGCAGGCUUAUGCC
rnacentral:rRNA from 1 species